AUUGAACGCUGGCGGCAUGCCUUACACAUGCAAGUCGAACGGCAGCACGGGUGCUUGCACCUGGUGGCGAGUGGCGAACGGGUGAGUAAUACAUCGGAACAUGUCCUGUAGUGGGGGAUAGCCCGGCGUAAGCCGGAUUAAUACCGCAUACGAUCUACGGAUGAAAGCGGGGGACCUUCGGGCCUCGCGCUAUAGGGUUGGCCGAUGGCUGAUUAGCUAGUUGGUGGGGUAAAGGCCUACCAAGGCGACGAUCAGUAGCUGGUCUGAGAGGACGACCAGCCACACUGGGACUGAGACACGGCCCAGACUCCCACGGGAGGCAGCAGUGGGGAAUUUUGGACAAUGGGCGAAAGCCUGAUCCAGCAAUGCCGCGUGUGUGAAGAAGGCCUUCGGGUUGUAAAGCACUUUUGUCCGGAAAGAAAUCCUUGGCCCUAAUACGGUCGGGGGAUGACGGUACCGGAAGAAUAAGCACCGGCUAACUACGUG
rnacentral:rRNA from 1 species